UAAUAGGCCGAAUUUUUCGGGCCCAUAAAAAACCAAAACCAAAAUAAAACAAAAAAAAACAAAAGUAGUAAAAGUCCACUGGUCCAAAAAGUCUAUUUACAACUUUUUUAAUCCAAAAAUAAAGGCCCAAAUAUUAAACCUAAUAAACCUACACCCAAAAUCCCAAAGUCCCCUAGUCCAAUUCACAAACGGCCCAAAGAGCCCAACAGCUUGAAAAUACCAGAAACCUAAAGGUUUCUAGAACACGCUAGUACUGCAAUCGGGCUUUCACGAGGGGUUUUCCCACGCACGGCUUCCACACCUCCGUACGACCGUUUCUCCACAAUUGCAAUAGAAUACACGGGAAGAAGCAGCUAACAGAAUACACAACAAAUGACAUAAGGAACAUAUAAUUUUUAUUUUUCAUAUAUUCUAUAAAUCUGGCUAUAAAAAGCCAUUAUCUGUACCUUGAAAAUACUACGCAUACUGAAAUACGAAAACUCAAUACAAAGAAUCAAGAAGGUGAUUUUAAGUUUUUUUUCUCUCCUCCUUCGUCUAUAAUAUUUUUGUUUCUUUUUGCAUCUAUUUUGCUUCGUAGAAUAAUCUCUUUUUUUUUUUAAAAAAAGGAAAUGAAAGAGGUUUAGCUAGAUGCAUCAACGAGAUCCUUGUUUCCUCCGUCGAAAUCAGAGUUUGAAAUGGGGAUUUCCGAGUGAAAGCAGUCAUUGAGUUUAGACUUUGAUCAAAAUAAGGAGCGUCUUUACAUCAUCCACCAAUUUUAAUGGUGAACUGAUGGUUGAAUUGCCGGAUUGGAUGGAGGAGGGCUGCUGUGCCGAAACCCUAGUAAUUGGGUAUUAGGUUUGUGGCUUGAAGAAAUGGCCAAUUGCCAUUCAAUGGCUUUUAAUUUUGAAACAAAAUGAAACGGUGCAGUUUAAGGGUAGGGAGAUCCGCACGUUGACCCAUUCCCAGACUCGGAUCUGUGCCUCUAUGCUUCAAAUGGGAAAUUGGCACGGUUAAUCCCUCCCUUUUGCGCCGCAUUUCAGUUGACCCGUAUUGGCAUCUUAUUUGUUUUUUAAAAUUUCCCCAAAAGUUUGUGUGCUAUUUCAUUUUAGUCCGCGUCUAGAUGCUGCGUUUUGGGGAUCUGGAAUAUUGCUAACUUUGGCCCCUGUACAUUUUUUUGCAUUGCAUGAUGGUCCUCUUUUUGAUUAUUUUAUUUGUAAAUUAUCCCUGCUAUUUUAAGUUUAUUUUAAUUAAGUCUUCUGUUUAUAUAAUUCGUUAUUUUUUAAGGAGAUUCACUUAAUUUUUU
rnacentral:lncRNA from 1 species